UACAGAGGGUGCGAGCGUUAAUCGGAAUUACUGGGCGUAAAGCGCACGUAGGUGGCGACGUAAGUCGGGUGUGAAAGCCCCGGGCUCAACCUGGGAAUUGCAUUCGAGACUGCAUUGCUGGAGUACGGAAGAGGAGGGCGGAAUUCCCGGUGUAGCGGUGAAAUGCGUAGAUAUCGGGAGGAACAUCAGUGGCGAAGGCGGCCCUCUGGUCCAGUACUGACACUGAGGCACGAAAGCGUGGGGAGCAAACAGG
rnacentral:rRNA from 1 species